rnacentral:rRNA from 1 species
CAGCACCUCAAGUGGUCAGGAGGAUUAUUGGGCCUAAAGCAUCCGUAGCCUGCUUUGUAAGUUUUCGGUUAAAUCCAUAUGCUCAACAUAUGGGCCGCCGGGAAUACUGCACAGCUAGGGAGUGGGAGAGGUAGACGGUACUCGGUAGGAAGGGGUAAAAUCCUUUGAUCUAUUGAUGACCACCAGUGGCGAAGGCGGUCUACCAGAACACGUCCGACGGUGAGGGAUGAAAGCUGGGGGAGCAAACCGGAUUAGAUACCCGGGUAGUCCCAGCUGUAAACUAUGCAAACUCGGUGAUGCGUUGGCUUGUAGCCAGUGCAGUGCCGCAGGGAAGCCGUUAAGUUUGCCGCCUGGGAAGUACGUACGCAAAGUAUG